rnacentral:rRNA from 1 species
CACGUAGGGUGCAAGCGUUGUCCGGAAUUAUUGGGCGUAAAGGGCUCGUAGGCGGUCCGUCACGUCGGGAGUGAAAACUCGGGGCUCAACCCCGAGCCUGCUUUCGAUACGGGCGGACUAGAGGUAGGUAGGGGAGAACGGAAUUCCUGGUGCAGCGGUGGAAUGCGCAGAUAUCAGGAGGAACACCGGUGGCGAAGGCGGGUCUCUGGGCCGAUACUGACGCUGAGGCGCGAAAGCUAGGGGAGCAAACGGG